rnacentral:lncRNA from 1 species
GACGUGCACACGACUUACACUGAAUGCUCUCAUAAUUGGCACAACGGCACUAGCUACUGUCAUGCUUGCCUUCCUGCUCUUGAAACACCUACGUGCUGCUGGCAGGAAAACACACACGACGACAGUGGCAACAGAGCUGUAUGCCAAUGGGGCUGCGCUGACCACUCUACUUAUUGGACCGCUCUGCAUCAGCCUCGCUAUGACUCCAUUCUGCUUCCUU